ensembl:misc_RNA Metazoa_SRP Metazoan signal recognition particle RNA
GCUGGGUACUGUGGUGUGUACCUGCCAUCCCAGUUACUCGGGAGGCUGAGACAAAAGGCUCGCUGAAGUCCAGGGGUUCUGGGCUGUCAUGUGCUAUGUUUGGCAUCAAUAUAGUAACCUCCCAGGAGUGGGGGUGGGCGCAGCCACCAGGUUGCCUAAGAAGGGGUGAACUGGCCCAGGUCAGAAAUGGAGCAGGUCAGAAUUCCUGUGGUGAUCAGAAGUGUGACCACUCCUGAGAAUAGACAUGGCACUUCAGGCUGGGCAACAUAGCGAGACCCCAUCUUUA